rnacentral:rRNA from 1 species
UACGAGGGGUCCUAGCGUUGUUCGGAAUCAUUGGGCGUAAAGCGUCUGUAGGCGGCUUUGUAAGUCGGGUGUGAAAGCCCCGGGCUCAACCUGGGAAUUGCAUUCGAGACUGCAUUGCUGGAGUACGGAAGAGGAGGGCGGAAUUCCCGGUGUAGCGGUGAAAUGCGUAGAUAUCGGGAGGAACAUCAGUGGCGAAGGCGGCCCUCUGGUCCAGUACUGACACUCAAGUGCGAAAGCGUGGGGAGCAAACAGG